rnacentral:rRNA from 1 species
GACGAACGCUGGCGGCGUGCUUAACACAUGCAAGUCGAACGGUGAAGCGCCUUCCUUUUUGGUGGGUGUGGAUGAGUGGCGAACGGGUGAGUAACACGUGAGUAACCUGCCCCCUUCUUCUGGAUAACCGCAUGAAAGUGUGGCUAAUACGGGAUAUUCUGGGUCUGUCGCAUGAUGGGUCUGGGAAAGAUAUUGUUUCGGUGGGGGAUGGGCUCGCGGCCUAUCAGCUUGUUGGUGGGGUGAUGGCCUACCAAGGCGGUGACGGGUAGCCGGCCUGAGAGGGUGGACGGUCACACUGGGACUGAGACACGGCCCAGACUCCUACGGGAGGCAGCAGUGGGGAAUAUUGCACAAUGGGCGCAAGCCUGAUGCAGCGACGCCGCGUGAGGGAUGGAGGCCUUCGGGUUGUGAACCUCUCUCGCCAGUGAAGCAGGCCUGCCUCGUUUGUGGGUGGGUUGACGGUAGCUGGAUAAGAAGCGCCGGCUAACUACGUG